AAAGCGAAACCGCGAAUGGCUCAUUAAAUCAGUUAUGGUUCCUUAGAUCGUUUCUCAUACAUGGAUAACUGCUGGUAAUUCUAGAGCUAAUACAUGCAAUCAGCUCCGUUCGCAAGAGUGGGGCGCUUUUAUUAGUUCAAAACCAAUCGGCGCCUUUCGAGGCGCCGACGUUGUGAUGACUCUGGAUAACUUAGCGGAUCGCAGGGCCCUGUGCCGGCGACGUAUCUUUCAAAUGUCUGCCCUAUCAACUGUCGAUGGUACGUGCUAUGCCUACCAUGGUUGUAACGGGUAACGGGGAAUCAGGGUUCGAUUCCGGAGAGGGAGCAUGAGACACGGCUACCACAUCCAAGGAAGGCAGCAGGCGCGCAAAUUACCCACUCCCGGAACGGGGAGGUAGUGACGAGAAAUAACGAUACGGAACUCUUUCGAGGCUCCGUAAUUGGAAUGAGUACACUUCAAACACUUUAACGAGGAUCAAUUGGAGGGCAAGUCUGGUGCCAGCAGCCGGGGUAAUUCCAGCUCCAAUAGCGUAUACUAAAGUUGCUGC
rnacentral:rRNA from 1 species